rnacentral:rRNA from 1 species
GACCCUUGUCCUUAGUUACCAGCACGUUAUGGUGGGCACUCUAAGGAGGACUGCCGGGUGGACAAACCGGAGGAAAGGUGGGGAUGACGUCAAGUCAUCAUGGCCCUUACGGCCUGGGCUACACACGUGCUACAAUGGUCGGUACAAAGGGUUGCCAAGCCGCGAGGUGGAGCUAAUCCCAUAAAACCGAUCGUAGUCCGGAUCGCAGUCUGCAACUCGACUGCGUGAAGUCGGAAUCGCUAGUAAUCGUGAAUCAGAAUGUCACGGUGAAUACGUUCCCGGGCCUU